rnacentral:tRNA from 1 species
ACAGCACUAGCCUUUUAAGCUAGAGAAAGAGGACCCACACCUCCUUAAUGAA